rnacentral:rRNA from 1 species
GACGAACGCUGGCGGCGUGCCUAAUACAUGCAAGUAGAACGCUGAAGGAGGAGCUUGCUUCUCUGGAUGAGUUGCGAACGGGUGAGUAACGCGUAGGUAACCUGCCUGGUAGCGGGGGAUAACUAUUGGAAACGAUAGCUAAUACCGCAUAACAGUAGAUGUUGCAUGACAUUUGCUUAAAAGGUGCAAUUGCAUCACUGCCAGAUGGACCUGCGUUGUAUUAGCUAGUUGGUGAGGUAACGGCUCACCAAGGCAACGAUACAUAGCCGACCUGAGAGGGUGAUCGGCCACACUGGGACUGAGACACGGCCCAGACUCCUACGGGAGGCAGCAGUAGGGAAUCUUCGGCAAUGGACGGAAGUCUGACCGAGCAACGCCGCGUGAGUGAAGAAGGUUUUCGGAUCGUAAAGCUCUGUUGUAAGAGAAGAACGAGUGUGAGAGUGGAAAGUUCACAGGGUGACG